AUGUAGGGCAGCCUGUCUUUAAGUAAGGGUAAAUUACUCUUGAACAAAAUGACUGUGGAUAGUUUUCCAUUCAAACCAAGCAUCUUGU
rnacentral:pre_miRNA from 1 species